rnacentral:tRNA from 2 species
UGCGUUGAUGGUCUAGCGGCUAUGACUUGGGCCUUCCAAGCCCAAAACCCGGGUUCGAAUCCCGGUCGGCGCAU